UACGUAGGGUCCAAGCGUUAUCCGGAAUUACUGGGUGUAAAGAGUUGCGUAGGUGGCAUAGUAAGUAGAUAGUGAAAGCGUGUGGCUCAACCAUACAUCCAUUAUCUAAACUGCUAAGCUAGAGAACGAGAGAGGUAGAUGGAAUUCCUGAUGUAGGGGUAAUAUCCGUAGAUAUCAGGAGGAACACCGAUGGCGUAGGCAGUCUACUGGCUCGUUUCUGACACUAAGGCACGAAAGCGUGGGUAGCAAACAGG
rnacentral:rRNA from 1 species